rnacentral:rRNA from 1 species
UACGUAGGGGGCAAGCGUUGUCCGGAAUCAUUGGGCGUAAAGAGCGUGUAGGCGGCCAGAUAAGUCCGCUGUGAAAUCUCGAGGCUCAACUUCGAGCUGUCGGUGGAAACUGUCUGGCUAGAGUCCGGAAGAGGAGAAUGGAAUUCCUGGUGUAGCGGUGAAAUGCGUAGAUAUCUGGAGGAACACCGGUGGCGAAGGCGGCAUCCUGGACCGGCAUUGACGCUGAGGAGCGAAAGCCAGGGGAGCAAACGGG